GACGAACGCUGGCGGCGCGCUUAACACAUGCAAGUCGAACGGAAAGGCCUGCUUUCCCUUGUGGAUUGCGGGUACUCGAGUGGCGAACGGGUGAGUAACACGUGAGUGAUCUGCCCCCAACUUGGGUAUAAGCCUGGGAAACUGGGUCUAAUUCCCGAUAGGACUGCAGGGUGGUGCCUGUGGUGGAAAACGAUUUUCUAGUGGUUGGGGAUGAGCUCGCGGCCUAUCAGCUUGUUGGUGGGGUAAUGGCCUACCAAGGCGGCGACGGGUAGCCGGCCUGAGAGGGUGGACGGCCACAUUGGGACUGAGAUACGGCCCAGACUCCUACGGGAGGCAGCAGUGGGGAAUAUUACACAAUGGGCGGAAGCCUGAUGCAGCGACGCCGCGUGGGGGAUGACGGCCUUCGGGUCGUAAACUCCUUUCGACCGCGAGGAAGCCACCUGGUUGGAAGGGUGGUGACGGUAGUGGUAGAAGAAGCACCGGCUAACUACGUG
rnacentral:rRNA from 1 species